CCAAAAUGGCGCAGGCGGGGGGUGACGGGCACCGGCGGGAGGGGGCGGGGGGAGCCGGCGGCGCCACUCACCUGCCGGGGCUCCGUCGCCUUUAUUCACAGAGCCAUAGAAUCGUCAAGGUUGGAAGACACCUUUAAGAUCAAGUCCCAAGCGUCAACCGAGCCCUGCCACUGUAACCCCUAAAGCACCAAACCACAUCGCCCAGCGCCAGGUCCAGACGCCUCUUAAACACCUCCAGGGAUGGCACGGCAGAAGGGACCGGCCACCACCGCGCUGCAACCUGCCUUCAGGUAGUUGCAUUGUUCUCCAGAAACACCGAUUUGCGAUGCUGUUUGCUCAGGAGGUUGGCACAUGCUCUCGGGGUCAGUUAUUUCCACACGUUACACCAAAAUUAUGGAGUGUUCCUGCACUGAACUGAACUGAAACCAGCCUCCAAAGCCUGGAUGCCACCUAUGUGCUACUUUUUUGCCACAAGUUAUCCCGAUCCUGAUUGUACAUCAGGCUUUGCAGGAUGAGCACCUUGCUGUUAAAAGCACAGUCACUUAUGCCGGCCUGCGUGGUGCUUUCAUGUCGGAAUGGGGGUUGUAUGAGUGGUGUGGAAAAUGCAGGGGUGAAUACAGAUUCAUUGGUAGCCUGCAGUGCAUCACUCGGUGCUUCUCCAACUUUCCCUUUCAGCAUCAGCUUCCAGUUGUGGCCACACACUCAACGCGUGACAGAAGAAUAAAUGCAGCUCAAUUAAAUUCUUUUGUCUUUUUUCAACCAAAUUACAAAAUAAUUACCAUCUCUCCCUUUACUUCAUUUUUAUCUUAAAUAAAUCACUAUUAGAUUUAGCAGGUUUCUGAUUUUCAUAGGAGUUUGAUCAUUGUUAUGCAACAUUAGGUUAGAUUAUCCUUGUUGUUUUAAUGCUUCUGAUAAUGAUUUUCUAGGUUCAUGAACAACAGAGCUGACUAUUUGUAGUGGUCAUUAUCUCUGUGAUUUGUGGUCACUUUCUGUGCAGAUACUCCUGUGUACAGCUAUUUUGGUUGCUAUAUAAAUCAAAUUAUUUUGUCAAUGUAUCGACUGCACUGAGACUAAUCUGAAAUUUCUUGCAUAUGUUUCUUUUUUUGUCUUCUAAUGUACUUCCACUUCAUCACUAAGAAGGUUUAUUAUCUUGGCCUGUGGUAGUAAGAAUCCCAGCAGUCUGGCUAAAAGGAACAGACCAAGCAAUUACAAAACUCACUAAGAAGUAAAUGAGGCAGCACUUACAUUGCAGAAUGCUUACCAUCAGUUCUGAUAACGCAAGUGGCAAAAAAAUGUUUGGUGGGGCUGAAAACUGUGGUUUUAAAAGUAUGUUUGCAAAGCUAUCAUAAAAAGUAGGCAAGGAAAUGUAUUUUAUUAGCUGACUUUAAAAAUAUUUGUGUAACUCUGUUUGUAUCACUGUAUAUGUCCAUAUAUUUCUGCUUUUUUCAGAACGAUCUCGAGGUCAUUCAGAGCUCCUGGGAACUUAAGCUAUAUUUUUCUAGCUCUGAAGGCUCUGAAAAUGGUUUGUGUAACAGUGUAAUAAACAACCUAAUAAAGAAAGCAAAAAGCUGAGUAGAAGUUUGUUUCUUUCCUGGAAAGGAAGAUCAGCAGAGUACGUCAGCAGGCAGAGAGAGAAAAAGGAGAAGUGUCCUGUCUGGAGCUGAAGAGUCUCAAGGGAAGAUUCACAGGGAUUUCUUACAAGAAAUGAAAUGUUAACAUUAGCGUUAAAAAGGAGUUCUUUCUGCAGGUGUGCCAUAAAUCCAAAAUAACUAACCGAAGUCAGUGCAGUUCCUGGGGAUUUGUGCUACUGUAAAUGAGAACAGAAUGGUCGUCUGACAACUCCGCAUUUUGUUUCACAUAUCCCUGGAUACCCUUGUUGUGUGCAACAAGACAUGGAGAUAUGAACAGUGGGAUUUUAAAUGGAUCUACAUUUAUAAUUCCAGUUAAAAUCAAGAGGAAAGGAGUGGAAAACAAACAGAACCUUUUUCUCUUCUGUGCCAUGCUCACACCAAAACAUCUGUCCAUCAGCUCUACUUCCUUCAAGUCCAGGAACACCGUGGUUAUAGGAGCGCUUAAAAAGCCUGUAUUUUUACUGUCAGAGGAUGCCAUUGACAUUCCUAGACAUGAAAAUACUUAAGAUUGCUGUAUGCUGGUUUUUGGGGUUUUUUUUACUCUAUAAAUGGCAUUCUGAACUGUGCUGCCUGUAUCAAAUAGCUCCUGGAACAUCCCUCCUAAUCAGUUCCUUUUGGGAGCGGGAUCGUCGGGCUGGUUCUGAAGCCGUGCCAGUGCCGGCAGUGCACAGGGACUACAGAUGAGAUCUUUGUUACAGAAGCAUGAGAUCAAUUCACCAUUCCGGGCCAUGUAGUAAAUGCAUUCCUGACUGAACGUUACAUCGUUUUUAUUUUCCUGGGACAGCAUUGCACUGUGUCUCCUCUCUGAAAGAGCUAUGUUCAUUAGAUACAGGAAGUCCUGCUAAUCAUCCAUAACGUUACAUUAACAGCUGCUGGUGUGUCUUUGAAUGCCCAGUGAUGAGGGGAGAGUUUGCAAGAGAUUUGGUACUUCUUUGCUGUGAUUGUUUUCUUCAGCAUGCUUCAGAAUCCAAAGUUCUGUAAAAAAAAAGGCCAGUUAAUCCUUAGGGUUGUGAGGAAAACUUUUAAAACAUGCACCAGAUGGAAAUCAAUGCAGUACUGUCUUGCAAGCAGACAGAUAGGCUGAGAAGAAAUCUGAAGUCUGAUAUUAUUUGGGUUGAAGGAAAAAGAGCUGCAAAGCAAUCAUGCAACUUAGAUAUCAUCGAUACAGAAUAUGCAAGUCUGCAGUGAGCUCUGUCUCAUUUCACAUCGUUGACAGCUUUGUUUUUGCCAGUGGCUCAAGAUAAACCCAAUUUUCUCUCCUGUUGAUUUGUGCUCCCUUUCUUUUGUAUAGACAACUUCCAUUACUUCCUUUGGCAGUGCACACGAUAGCUGACUCAGGAACAGAGCUGACCGGAAAAAAAAGAUUUCCAGUCUAUAGACAAUAAAUUUAUACUUCUGCCCUUGUUUUAUGCACAUUUUUUUACAA